UACGGGGGGGGCAAGCGUUGUUCGGAAUUACUGGGCGUAAAGGGCUCGUAGGUGGCCAACUAAGUCAGACGUGAAAUCCCUCGGCUUAACCGGGGAACUGCGUCUGAUACUGGAUGGCUUGAGUUCGGGAGAGGGAUGCGGAAUUCCAGGUGUAGCGGUGAAAUGCGUAGAUAUCUGGAGGAACACCGGUGGCGAAGGCGGCAUCCUGGACCGAUACUGACGCUGAGGAGCGAAAGCCAGGGGAGCAAACGGG
rnacentral:rRNA from 1 species